CCUACGGGGGCAGCAGUGGGGAAUAUUGGACAAUGGGCGAAAGCCUGAUCCAGCCAUGCCGCGUGUGUGAAGAAGGCCUUCGGGUUGUAAAGCACUUUCAGUGGGGAAGAAAGCCUUGGGGCUAAUACCCUCGAGGAAGGACAUCACCCACAGAAGAAGCACCGGCUAACUCCGUGCCAGCAGCCGCGGUAAUACGGAGGGUGCGAGCGUUAAUCGGAUUUACUGGGCGUAAAGCGCGCGUAGGCGGUCUGAUAAGCCGGUUGUGAAAGCCCCGGGCUCAACCUGGGAACGGCAUCCGGAACUGUCAGGCUAGAGUGCAGGAGAGGAAGGUAGAAUUCCCGGUGUAGCGGUGAAAUGCGUAGAGAUCGGGAGGAAUACCAGUGGCGAAGGCGGCCUUCUGGACUGACACUGACGCUGAGGUGCGAAAGCGUGGGUAGCAAACAGGAUUAGAUACCCCAGUAGUC
rnacentral:rRNA from 1 species